rnacentral:rRNA from 1 species
CAGUCGCCACGGUAAUACGAAGGGUGCAAGCGUUACUCGGAAUUACUGGGCGUAAAGCGUGCGUAGGUGGUGGUUUAAGUCCGUUGUGAAAGCCCUGGGCUCAACCUGGGAAUUGCAGUGGAUACUGGGUCACUAGAGUGUGGUAGAGGAUAGUGGAAUUUCCGGUGUAGCAGUGAAAUGCGUAGAGAUCGGAAGGAACAUCUGUGGCGAAGGCGACUAUCCGGGCCAACACUGACACUGAGGCACGAAAGCGUGGGGAGCAAACAGGAUUAGAUACCCCGGUAGUCCCUGUCUCUUAUAC